UUUCCGUAGGUGAACCUGCGGAAGGAUCAUUAUUGAAUGAUACAGUUCUGGCUUUAUGCUGUUGUGCUGGCCCUUUGGGCAAUGUGCACACGGCUCUGGUCACUUGUUUCUUCUGUUCCACCUGCGCACGUCCUGUAGACACGCUGUGUCUAUGAUAUUUGUUAACACAAAACAAUGUUAGUUGGCAUGUUAUAUAUAAUAAUAAAAUAUACAACUUUCAACAACGGAUCUCUUGGCUCUC
rnacentral:misc_RNA from 1 species